GCCACCUUAGCUCAGUUGGUAGAGCACGUCAUUCGUAAUGACGGUGUCCCGAGUUCGAUCCUCGGAGGUGGCU
rnacentral:tRNA from 1 species